GAGCAGAGCGCUCAGCUGCAGACCAUGUGUAUAAAGGAAUUUAAGAAGUGAUAAAGAUGACCUACUUAAGAUUGGAUCCUGUGGCAGAUUCUAUUCCCAAAGAUGAUUGCGGCAUUCUCUCUUUUCCCCCCAAGGGCUUUCUACAAUGUGACUUUGACUGUUUUCCUACUGAGAGGUGGGGCAUAUGUUCCCUCCCCUUGAUUCUGGGCAGGUUUUGACUACAAUCGAAGUAACGCUAAGUGAAUUCUGAAGCUUGGGUGUAUGAAGUGGUACAGACUUUGCCUUUUGUUUUUGCCUUGGAACUCAGCCAUCAUAACGGGAGGAGGCCCAAACAGCCUGUGAUGAGUGAGGUGCAAGUGGAAAGGAACUGUGGCCGCCAGCCCUCAGCCUUAGCCAAACUCCCAGCUGCCAGCCAGCAGGAACCUGCCAGCCAUAAGUGAGCCAUCUUGAAAGCGCAUCCUUCAGCCCCAGUCAAGCCAUCUCAGCUGGCGCUGUGUGGCACAAAGAUGAACCAUCCUUGUUCAUCCCUACCUACAAUGCAGGUUUGAACUCUACCUGGGAUGAGUGACAAUGGGAACAUCUGGGUUUUUUUUCAGAGAAGAAUCCACCCUUAUGGUGUUGUGGCCCUUUGGGCUUACUAAGACGGUCAUACAACCCCAAAGCGAGUACACAUCCCCAAAUCCAGGCUGUUCAGCUUUAUAAAUGUCAACUAUGGGGCAUCAAUAGCCCAACCCAGAUACACACAGAGGCACACUGGAAAUGCAAUAGAACAACGGCUGCCAAUUUAAAAGCAGAAGUUAAGAAGAGCAAACCCGAAUGUACAGCGAGAGAGCUUCGGGCUGGAUUGGCUCCCGGCAGAAGCGAGACUGGAAAUCUUGGAUUCUGUUGCCUCUUCUCUCCUCUGUGAUGUGGAAGAAGAUGUCAGCACCUGGGUGUGGACUUGGUCAUUAACGCUUAUUUCCCAACCUUUGCCAAGCUGCCUAACUCCCUGGAGUCUUAGUUUUCUCAUGUGUGGGAGACAAUGUGUUCUUUAUCCUGAAGUCAUUGUGAGGACUGAGUGAGAGGAUGUAUGUGGAAGGAAGCACCAAGCGUGGUUCCUGGUAUAUACUAGGUACUCAAUAAAUGUGGACUAGCGUGAAUAUGAACUCCACUCACUUCGUGCCCCCUCAUGCUGGCUGGUCCCCGGUGCUCUGGGCUUCCCAAGUCAUGGCAGUUUUCCCAAAGUGGCCCCUAAAGUCAUGUCAGUCCUUGGGGCCUCAUUACUUAGGUUUCCUGUGCCAUCUGCUCCCUUCCAGUCAUAGAUUCCAUGCUCUGUUCUGACAGAAGCUUGCUUCUGCUGGCUGUCACACUUAAAAAGUGGCGGAUGACCAUUCGAGCGUUAGAUGAUAAUGAUUUAUGAACACCAUCCCUCCAGACAGCAUUUGCAGUAUUACAAGUUUUGCUUUUAUUUUAUUUGUCACUAGGAAGGCACUGAGAACAAAAGGAAACUCUCUCGAAUGGUGGGAUCGAGGCACUGUAGCACAUUUUUUAUGGAGGGGAAGGAGGCUUUUCGCCUGGAAACCUUUCAAAUCACGCCCUAUAAGUAGCUCACGAGUCUCUCUACUCACACUGAUCUCUUCAUCUGCUGAGUUGAACAGUGUCCCCCAAAUUCAUGGCCACCCGGGACCUGUGAAUGUGACCUUAUUUGGAAAUAGGGUCAUUGCAGAUAUACUCAAAUUAAGACGAGGCCAUAUUGGAUUAGGGGGAGCCCUAAAUUCAAUAUGACUGGAGUCUUUAUAAGAAGAGGAAAAUUUGGCCACAGAGAUAUAGACCUACGGGGUAUCAGGCCCUGUGAAGACAGAGUCAGACAUUGGAACGAGGUGUCAAGUCAAGGAUCAACAAGGAUUGCUGACAACCAGCGCAAGACGGAAGAGGCAAGGAAGGACUCUUCCUUAGAGACUUCAGAAGGAACAGGCCCUGCCAACACCUUGACUGUGGACUUCUAGCCUCCAGAACUUUGAGGGAAUAAAUUUCUGUUGUUUCAAGCUGCCCAGUCUGUGGUGCCCCAGGAAACUAACACUGUGACUCAGCAGGCUGUUUGCUGACUGUGCAGGAUUAGCCCAGUGGGUCCGGCAACUGGGAGGGGUCGCAGGGAGAUUUCGAUGGUAGGCAAGUGAUGAUGGAGUGGAGAGCACGAGGUGUGUGCUCUCCAACUGGAGGAAGGGCGUGUGUAGGCUGUGGGGAAGGACAGUAGGACAGAUGUUGCUGAGUGAGUGACUACCUCUGUUUAAAGAGAGAGCGCUUCGCUUUACAAAAGGAAUGCUCUCUUAAAAUACUCCACGUGAGCUAACUUGGCCUUGAAUUUCUAGGAGGGACUGAAGUUCGAAAGGAUCAAUGACAUUUCAAGACACUCUAAGUCUGUUUACAAAACGAAAAAUCUACUCCCCUUCCCAGUUGGGGAUAUUUUUUAUUUUGUAAGUGUCUAUCCUGAUGCUUGUGAAAGUGAGGGCUUCCUGAAAGGCAAGCGAGAGCCCAAGGAGGUUUGGGAGAGUGAAGGGAGGCCGACUUUUUCUCAUUUUUUACAGGGAAAAAAAAAAUCAUACAACUCUGCUAAUUUAAGAAUUUGAGAAUGAUCUCUUUAGACACGAUAAUUUAUUUCUGAAUGUUAAGGAAUGGAAUUUAGCAAGAAGAGCCUAUUGUGUGUCAAAAUAGAGGAGGUCCUUACUCCAUCAUUUGAAAUAGCAGAGAAAAACAUUGUUGUUGAACCAUCUACUCAAUAAACAUUUUCCAAGUGCCUGCUGCAUGGUAGACACUCCAUUGGGCACCCGGGGAGAAAGAUACCAAUAAUCUUGAUCCUGGCCCUCAAUGGCAUUGCGGAGGGGAUACACAGGCUUAUAAAUAUGUAAUAAUAGCAAUACUAAUGCUUCUGAAUGCCCACAAAAUGCCAGGCCCCAGGCCAAAUGCUUUACAGCCAAGAGAGCAUCAUUUAUUCCCCAACAACCCUGGAAGUAGGUUUUGUUACUGGUCCCAUUUUGCAGAUGAGGAAAUAGGCUUGGAGAGGCUGAGAAACUUGUCUAGUGUCAUUCAACUAACGAGGUGGGGAAGCUGCAAUUCACACCUGGGGCUGGGGCCCUAAAGGCUCCCCUCUUCACCACUUUGAGUGGCUGAGAUGUAGGUGUUGCAUGGCCUCAAGAGUCAGACUCCCUGGGAUUGACUCUCAUACCCAUCUGCUGCUAAUUGUGCCCUUGAACACAUUACCUCACUGCUUGGCUCCUCAGAGGAGGCUAAUGGCAGUACCCGCCUUGUAGGGUUGUCGUGAGAACUAAAUGAUCUCAUAUGAGCAAAGUGUUCAAUGCAGCACCUGACACGAUGGGGACCGUCAUGAAACAUCAGUUUUUGUUACUACAUGCUGGUGGGGCUACCGUGGGGGUGUAACCGGAGAGCUGAGGAGCAAGAGGAGCGCCCAGAUGAGGCUCUGCCCCCUCCUGCGUGGAGCUUUGGGUCUGGUCCAGGCUUGGAUCUCUUUUGAGUUCAAAGGGAGACUUGUGUGUGAGGGAAGCUUUGGGACUGUGGGUGGUGGGGGAGGCGAGGAGCAAACACCAGGGGAUUGACUUUCACAGAAUCUCAUUUAAAAAGUGAUAGCUAGUGGUUUCAGUCUAUUUAAGUGUAUUCCGCCAUAGUAUUUGCCAUAUCGACCACAAUCAAGGAGGUGGGAGUGGAGGUGUACAGGAAAGUUCCCUAGGCAAAAGUUCCUCCAGUUUGAGUAGGUUAGGGAAUUAAGGGUCUUUUCCAAAUACAAGUGCAUUUGGGAGCAGUAGGACAGUUGCUUCUGCUAGUUGGGAAUGUUUUACCUCAGAUCAUUUGAACACAUGAGUACCAGCAGAAAGCUGGGUUCUGAGAAAAUGGCAGGUAAAUUUACAGGAUAGGUAAAUUGAUGGGGACUGGGGUGAGUCUAAAGCUACCUGGUCCUGGUGGCAUUUUGAAGUGCAGAGGCUUGAACUUGAAUCGAGGGCUUGGCUAACCCCUAUGGAACCUUCAAACUUUGGCUCAAAUAUCACCUCCUCUAGGAAGCCUUCUCUGAUCCCCCCAGAGCUCCUCAUCUGUGCUCUCCUCCCACAAUCUGAACACCUCGAGUGCCGUGCUCGCGGUCCUUUGUUGGAGUGAUUCCUUGAGGAGGCGGCUCUCUUACUCCACCCCCCGUCGUACUUCUAUCAGCUUGGAAGCAGCACAUGACUGGAAAAACCGCAAACCUUUCUUGGAAGCAAAGUAAACCUGGCUGGCCUGGGUUCAGGAGAGGGAAGAGACAUUGAUUCAUCUUUCCUACCGUCCAAAAAAAGAAGAAGGAGAUCAAUGGAGCUUUGGCAAGAUCCGCUGGGAGGAGAAUCUGCACUGUCAAGGCCAACAGGGCCACCCAUUAUCUCCUUAACACGCUCUUCCAACAUGGACAUACUAUUCCACGUUGGCGUAGACAGGCUGUAAAGGUAUAGAUUUUGUUUGAAAUUUCUCUUCAGUGGAGAAGAGCAUCCUUGCUCUGUGUUGGCAGAAAGAGUCCUUUCCUUAAUCUAAGCCAAGGCACAGCCACAAAGCCGGCCGACAGGUAUAAUGUGUUUGGAAUGUAUUGUUGUUUGUUACCAGGAGGGCUUAGAGCCCACAACUCACCCCAAACAAGCGCUUGGACUACAAAGGGCUGUAAAUCUAAACUCACUCAAUUUCUCUUUCUUAGGGCUCACCCCUCUUUGCAGAUGGCUUCCUCCUCUGACUUGUUACUGUCAC
rnacentral:lncRNA from 1 species